UUAUUUUAUUUUAAUACUGUUUAAUUCCACAGGAAUAUUACACAUCAUACGAGGUUGGUCCUUCAUUGUAGUAUUCACUGUUUCACACUAGAAGGAAGUUUGUAAUUUCUUGUCCACUGAACACCAGUAUAUCAAGAAUUGACGAUAAAAGAGAGGGGGAGAGAAUGUCGAAGUUCUUUUUGAGGACAACUUGUCUACCGUGGUGUUCUUGCUGUUCAUCUAAGGCAAUCCUGUUAAUAAGGAACAUAAUAAACCCUCUGGAUGCCAUGUUAAGAGCAUUGGUUAUAUCAGUCCUCUUAUUCCACAAAGUAGCAGCACCUUAAAUCCCAAAGGAAAGUGCGUUUCCCUAUUAACAACAGAAACAAUGCGUUGCUAGCAAAGGAAAGAUUUAUGACAGUGAA